rnacentral:rRNA from 1 species
AAAAGGUCCCUGGCCCAGGGUUGGGGCUGUAUCCUGUCCCCCUGUCGGUUAGGUAAUGGGUCGGGUAAGGGCUGACCGAUAGCUGGAUUGAUAGGAUGAUCGGCCACACUGGACCUGACACAGGGACCGGACUCCUACGGAAGGCACCACUGGGGAAUAUUGCUCAAUGGGUUAAACCCUGAUGCAAAACCCCCCCGUGCAGGAUGACGCAUUUCGGUGUGAAAACUCCUUUUAUAAGGGAAGAUAAUGA